UACGGAGGGGACUAGCGUUGUUCGGAAUUACUGGGCGUAAAGCGCACGUAGGCGGAUUUGUAAGUCAGGGGUGAAAUCCCGGGGCUCAACCUCGGAACUGCCUUUGAUACUGCAAAUCUCGAGUCCGGAAGAGGUGAGUGGAAUUCCUAGUGUAGAGGUGAAAUUCGUAGAUAUUAGGAAGAACACCAGUGGCGAAGGCGGCUCACUGGUCCGGUACUGACGCUGAUGCACGAAGGCCAGGGGAGCAAACGGG
rnacentral:rRNA from 1 species